AUUGAACGCUGGCGGCAGGCCUAACACAUGCAAGUCGAACGAGUGGCGGACGGGUGAGUAAUGUAGGGGAAACUGCCUGAUGGAGGGGGCUAACUACUGGAAACGGUAGCUAAUACCGCAUACCAUCGGAUGUGCCCAGAUUGGAUUAGCUAGUAGGUGGGGUAAAGGCUCACCGAGGCGACGAUCCCUAGCUGGUCUGAGAGGAUGACCAGCCCCACUGGAACUGAGACACGGUCCAGACUCCUACGGGAGGCAGCAGUGGGGAAUAUUCGGCAAUGGGCGCAAGCCUGAUGCAGCAAUGCCGCGUGUAUGAAGAAGGCCUUCGGGUUGUAAAGUACUUUCAGCGGGGAGGCGUUACCCGCAGAGAAAGCCCCGGCUAACUCCGUGCCAGCAGCCGCGGUAAUUC
rnacentral:rRNA from 1 species